rnacentral:rRNA from 1 species
CUAAGCGCCAAGCCUGCCCGAAGACUAUAUAUCCCUUAUACGCAAGUAUACUAAAGGCCGGUCGAAGACUACGACCUCGAUAGGCUGGAAAUGCAAGUGCCGCAAGGCAUUCAGUUUACCAGUACUAAUCAGCCGUGAGGCUUAAUCAC